rnacentral:rRNA from 1 species
CGCAAGCCUGACGGAGCAACGCCGCGUGCGGGAGGACGGCCUGUGGGUUGUAAACCGCUUUUCUCAGGGAAGAAGUUCUGACGGUACCUGAGGAAUCAGCAUCGGCUAACUCCGUGCCAGCAGCCGCGGUAAUACGGAGGAUGCAAGCGUUAUCCGGAAUUAUUGGGCGUAAAGCGUCCGUAGGCGGUGAGUUAAGUCUGCUGUCAAAGCCUGCAGCUCAACUGUGGAGUGGCAGUGGAAACUGAUUGACUAGAGUGCGAUAGGGGUAGAGGGAAUUCCCAGUGUAGCGGUGAAAUGCGUAGAUAUUGGGAAGAACACCAGUGGCGAAGGCGCUCUACUGGGUCGCAACUGACGCUGAGGGACGAAAGCUAGGGGAGCG